rnacentral:misc_RNA from 1 species
UUGUGGAGGAGGACGCCGAAGGUGGGGCUAAUGACUGGGGUGAAGUCGUAACAAGGUAGCCGUACCGGAAGGUGCGGCUGGAUCACCUCCUAACAGGGAGACAAAAACUGAUCGUGAUGUCUAAGUUUUUAAUUCUUAGGCCAUGAUCCUGUCACCUUAGGUCGAUCGGUACCUCAAUUUCUUAUACUUAAGAGAACUAAUUUGGUUAUCUUAUUUAAGAUUUUCAGUUCCUAAACUUGUCUAGGUCACACCCAACAAGGGUACUCCUGGGCCAUUAGCUCAGGUGGUUAGAGCGCACCCCUGCUAAGGGUGAGGUCCCUGGUUCAAGUCCAGGAUGGCCCAUUCGGUGUUGGGGGUAUAGCUCAGUUGGUAGAGCGCCUGCUUUGCAAGCAGGAUGUCAGCGGUUCGAGUCCGCUUACCUCCACUGAUCAACCUUCUUAAUAGCGAAUCAAAGGAGAUUCUCUUUUUUGUUGUGAUUUAGACUUGUUUUGUCUGAAUGAACCUAGCUUCCUCUCAUUCCAAUUCUAAAUAUCUAGAAAAGGUUGAAAGGAUGCUGGGCUCACUGUGAUCAUUUUGAUUACAGGGACUUCAGUAGAACCUUGACAACUGCAUAGGUGAGUCUGGAAAAAUAAAGCAUCUCAUGGAUGCAUUUUCCUAUUUAAAGAAAGCAAUUUCUCUAAAUUAAAGGAAUGAUGUUUAAUUCUUGAGCAAAGAGCAUAUCUCUUUAGUCUUUUUUUGAUAUUUUCAUUAAGAGUUAGAUCAUUGAUUUAUUAAUUAAAUCAAUGAGAAUUACCUGAAGAGACUAUAUGGUCAAGCUACAA